AUCGAACGCUGGCGGCAGGCUUAACACAUGCAAGUCGAGCGAGCGGAGGACGGGUGAGUAAUGUCUGAGAAACUGGCUGAUGGAGCGGGAUAAAUACUGGAAACGGUAGCUAAUACCGCAUACCAUCAGAUGUGCCCAGAUGGGAUGAGCGAGUAGGUGGGGUAAUGGCUCACCUAGGCGACGAUCCCUAGCUGGUCUGCGAGGAUGACCAGCCACACUGUGACUGAGACACGGUACAUACGCCUACGGGAGGCAGCAGGGGGGAAUAUUGCACAAUGGGCGAAAGCCUGAUGCAGCCAUGCCGCGUGUGUGAAGAAGGCCUUCGGGUUGUAAAGCACUUUCAGCGAGGAGGCGUUACUCGCAGAAGAAGCACCGGCUAACUCCGUGCCAGCAGCCGCGGGAAUUC
rnacentral:rRNA from 1 species